UACGGAGGGGACUAGCGUUGUUCGGAAUUACUGGGCGUAAAGCGCACGUAGGCGGAUUUGUAAGUCAGGGGUGAAAUCCCGGGGCUCAACCUCGGAACUGCCUUUGAUACUGCAAAUCUCGAGUCCGGAAGAGGUGAGUGGAAUUCCUAGUGUAGAGGUGAAAUUCGUAGAUAUUAGGAAGAACACCAGUGGCGAAGGCGGCUCACUGGUCCGGUACUGACGCUGAGGUGCGAAAGUGUGGGGAGCGAACAGG
rnacentral:rRNA from 1 species